GAUGAACGCUAGCUACAGGCUUAACACAUGCAAGUCGAGGGGAAACGACAUCGAAAGCUUGCUUUUGAUGGGCGUCGACCGGCGCACGGGUGAGUAACGCGUAUCCAACCUGCCCAUCACUUGGGAAUAACCUUGCGAAAGUAAGACUAAUACCCAAUGAUAUCCAUAGAAGACAUCUGAAAUGGAUUAAAGAUUUAUCGGUGAUGGAUGGGGAUGCGUCUGAUUAGCUUGUUGGCGGGGUAACGGCCCACCAAGGCACGAUCAGUAGGGGUUCUGAGAGGAAGGUCCCCCACAUUGGAACUGAGACACGGUCCAAACUCCUACGGGAGGCAGCAGUGAGGAAUAUUGGUCAAUGGACGAGAGUCUGAACCAGCCAAGUAGCGUGCAGGACGACGGCCCUA
rnacentral:rRNA from 1 species